UGGAGUGUGGCCAAGCUGGGCCUCUGUAGCACACGGCCUUUAUCUCAGGAGAACACGCGUGGAGCUAAAGAGACAACAAGGAUGGCCGAGAGAGAAACGCCUUUGUCCACUUUCACACUGUCCUCUGUCGUCUGUGCGCAGCUUGAAGCCGUGGCUGAUGCUCAAGCCACACGUCUGCUCUGUAAUAUUUCAGCUCUGUAUUAUUCCUCUAAAACCUGUAUUAUUCAUAGAUGAGACAUUGGUUAGUAUUUCCUUAGCCUCUAUCCGAGUUUCCAUUUAUUUUUGGAUGGAUGGAUGGAUGGAUGGAUGGAUGGAUGGAUGGAUGGAUGGAUGGACGGAUGGAUGGAUGGAUGGACGGAUGGAUGAUGUUGGUACUGCACUGCUGCCAUCAUCCAAGAUUGGAGGUUAACUCUUCAGGUUCUUGGAUGGACGUUGGCUGAAGUGGGCAGUGCAGAUGGUCUACAGGCUGAUUCCACGUCGUCUCCUCACACUGGGCUCAACCAGGAGGCAGAAUCUCACUGCUGGGACUCUCCAGGGGCAAGUGGAAGUGUGUAUCUGACUCCCCCACCCCCACCUCACUGGCUGCUUCACACAAAGUCUGUCUGUGUGUGCACCACUGCCUUGAUUUUCCAUCAACACUAGACUGUGGAACAGGUCACUGGCCAUCCGACUGCACCGUCAGCUGUGUUUUCCAAAGUGUGUGUUUAAGUGCGUGUGUGUGCACAUUUGCGUGUGUGUGCACGUGUGUGAGUGCUCAAAGCAGUGCUCUAUGUCGCCUGGAAACCUGCUGUUUACAGUCUGAUUGUUUAAGUUUGAAGACUGAUGAAAACUUAGUCAUAUGGACAUGUGCAUAGCCAUAAACUAUCAUGUAAUUCAAAUUGUGCCAGUAAUUCAGCUUGUGCUUUCCAGUCCAUUUGCUGAAUGCUACAGACACAGGGCUUCUAAAAACCUUUGGUGAAAGAAACUCAGUUAGGAUAGUAUUGAACUUUUGCGUUUGGCAGUCAAUCUAUGUUUAACUUUUAUAUUGCUAAGAAUAAUAUUGAAAAAAAGGAGUAACCGAAUGGUCUGAUCCCACUGGUGCGCAUGCAUAUAACGUACAUUCCACAAUCAGGUGGACCUUACUCUACCUUACUCUAUUCUAAUGUUACCUACAACUGCCCCCUAUACAUAAAUAGACCUGCACUCAAGUGGAUAGUAUUGGUAACCUUUAUUUGUUAAUUGCUUUCUGUCUUUGGAUGUUGUGGAAAACGACCCCCUCACUGCGGCAUGGUCUCCAGCCCGAAGGGUUUCUCGCUGGAGCGCCGGGUGGAAGCACGGGAGGCCUCAGCCAUGUGCUCUUUGUUCCCACUACAGGCACUGCAGGCUUUUCCUGGCCAAAGUCUUUUCCUUUACAGCAGAACGUCUGGAGGACAAGAGCCUCCACGCUGCAUCUGCGCUCUUCAAAUGGACCAGAUGUGCCUUUGGCUCCGUGGCCAAGUCUUUUAGCGGCUGCAGAACAAGCCUGCUGCCUCCCCUGGGGAAGCGCACAUAAUAGCAGAACUGUUUUCAGGCAACAGAGACUCGGCCCCGGCGUGAGAUGAACUGCUGUAGCUAACUCAGCCACGGCUGCAGGGACCAGGAGCUCCACAGAGGCAGACUGGCCAAGGACUAGUGCUGAGUUUACUGACUACAAGCAAAGGCAGGCAGGCCGGGCUGGAAGAAGCCCCAAGACAAGCAGAAGGACAAGUACAAAGGAUGUGAGAUGAAGCUCCGGUCCGUGUUGACAGACUCAUCUUUCAACUGCCCAUGUGUGUGUGUGUGCAGCACGUACCAUUUCAAAGGCAAGCUAGAACCCACUGAAAGACAGAAUACGCCAUUAUGACACCAAACGGCUCUGCUCUUCUGUUACCAGUGAGUUUCAGGUGUCGGAAUAUCUGGUGGUCAUCUCUAAAUUACAGUUAGCUGACACAAGAUACGUGUGUGUGCUAAAUAUAGUGACCUUAGGAAUGUUUAUAGGGGAAAAAAAUCUAACUUGAGCAAAGAUCUAUAAAAUUUGUAGAUAAAUUCAAACA